rnacentral:rRNA from 1 species
AUUGAACGCUAGCGGGAUGCCUUACACAUGCAAGUCGAACGAGUGGCGAACGGGUGAUUAAUGUAUCGGAACGUGCCCAGUAGCGGGGGAUAACUACGCCAAAAGUAGCUAAUACUGCACACUAUUGGAGCGGCCGAUAGCGGAUUAGCAAGUUGGGGGGGUAACGGGGCACCAAGGCGACGAUCCGUAGCUGGUUUGAGAGGACGACCAGGCACGCUGGGGUUGGGACCCGGCCCAGACGCCUACGAGAGGCAGCAGUGGGGAAUUUUGGACAAUGGGUGAAACCCUGAUGCAGCCAUCCCGCUUGUGCGAUGAAGGCCUUCGGGUUGUAAAGCACUUUUGGCAGGGAAGCGGUACCUGCAGAAUAAGCACCGGCUAACUACGUGCCAGCAGCCGCGGUAAUAC